rnacentral:rRNA from 1 species
CAGCCGCCGCGGUAAUACGUAGGUGGCAAGCGUUGUCCGGAAUUAUUGGGCGUAAAGCGCGCGCAGGUGGUUUAAUAAGUCUGAUGUGAAAGCCCACGGCUCAACCGUGGAGGGUCAUUGGAAACUGUUAAACUUGAGUGCAGGAGAGAAAAGUGGAAUUCCUAGUGUAGCGGCGAAAUGCGCAGAGAUUAGGAGGAACACCAGUGGCGAAGGCGGCUUUUUGGCCUGUAACUGACACUGAGGCGCGAAAGCGUGGGGAGCAAACAGGAUUAGAUACCCCUGUAGUCCCUGUCUCUUAUAC